rnacentral:lncRNA from 1 species
CAACUCCCAAUAUUUCUACUUCUCCUUCCCUCCAACUCAACUUGAUGGGUCCAAAACUAUAUGUAAAUACAACUCAGGUAAACCCUAACCACUCAUGUACUUAACUUUCAAGUCUAGCUUGUGGCGACUUCUUCAAACCUGUGAUUUGAAGUAUGCAAAGAUAUUUAUAGGUUAUAGCAGAUAACAGACCAGUUACAGGAAUGAGAUUAUAUCUUGAAGGCAUGAAAUCAAACAGGUAACAAAUGUAAUAAAUUCUUUAGUAUAAUAACUGCUGUGAAUUACCGUUGAGCUAAAUUUAAAGUUUGUAUUUGUAGGUUGGCCAUUCACAUCCAACACCUUCUAACUACUCCUCUUCUUCUUGAAAAC